AUGUCAAAUGCAGUCUUCUUCUUCUUGGGCUUCCGGGUCAUUCUCCUGGCGGCUAUGGUAGUAGCUCUAGCCUUCUUGGCAGCUUCAUGA
rnacentral:rRNA from 1 species